rnacentral:lncRNA from 1 species
CACACCCAGGAAAUUCCGAGGAGAACGUGAGCCGUCAUGCGAGGACUUCUCAGAAUGACAGACCCAGACAGUCUGCCCCUGGAGACAGCAGCAAGGAGAGGAUGCGUGGAGAAGAAUUGGAAGACACAAAGAAUGAUCCAGAGUGUGGAGUGGAAGAGGAGGAUGCCAGGCUGGCGGGGUAGACACCGGGCAAGCUUACAAGGUCCAGUCCCUGACGUCUCCAGACGCCCAUCUGGGCCGGGUCCGGAGGCCUGCCUGGGCUCCCAGGUUUCGGGUCUGAGACUUGUGUGGCCGGGAGUGCACCUUCCCCAGGGAUCUUUGAGGGGCCAGUGACCCCGCAGGCCCCACAUACCUCUGAGGUGGGCUCAGGCUCUAGAAUGCCUGAGAACAUGCUGCGCUUAGCAUGCGACACCAUGCAACAGUGAGGAAAUAUUUCCCUAAGUUAAUUGUUGAUAGUUCCUAAACAUUUCAGAAGCUUACUUGUUAAAACUAAUGUGGCUUCUGCUUCUCAGGAUAACUUGGUGGGACUUCACCGGAACCACAGGGAUGUUUUACUGAAUGUACCUCUUUCCAUAUAGAAGUUUAAAGAUGCUCAGGAAGGGGCCACACCCAUUCCAUCUGGGCUGUAGAAACCCAUUGCAAGUUUGCACAUGCCAGCCUUGCUAUUGCUGUGAGACCACGGGCACCAAAGAGGUUUCCAGGGGGACACGUGUCCUUUCCGGGGAGGCUUCAGCCACAUCAGAAGUGCCUUGAGGGCAGGGGCAGGGGCUGGAUGGUGCCUACUGCAGAUCUGGAGCUCUUUUCUGGCCUGGUAUACAGGAGGUGCUCAGAGAGGGCUCUGCACAGGCUUCAGCCAUCAGCUUAGAUGGGAAGCACCAGGUAGGAAUUGGGCAGAUGGUGCUUCUAGCACAUGGUGGCCUUGAGUGGAAAAGCUUGUGGUAGUAAAAGUAACUAAAAAUGACAACCUGGCUUGAAUGUGACGUUGACCUCCCCAUUCUCAAAUACUGAUGGAGCC